UUUAAUUGAAGAGUUUGAUCAUGGCUCAGAUUGAACGCUGGCGGCAGGCCUAACACAUGCAAGUCGAGCGGUAACAUUUCUAGCUUGCUAGAAGAUGACGAGCGGCGGACGGGUGAGUAAUGCUUGGGAACAUGCCUUGAGGU
rnacentral:rRNA from 2 species